ACCAGCUUGGGACUUUCUAAAUCUCAUUAGCAAUAGUCCAGGAAUGACAUAGCCUUCCUGUGCAAUGGGUGUCUUAACGUACUAAGUAAGCUCAUCUAAUAUAUUCGACUUCGCUUGCUUGCACGACCGCCACACUCCUCUUUGCUUUCAAAAUAAAAUAUUUCUUCGCUAUCUUUCUUUGAGCUCCUAGGCAACAGAUCCUACUCCCUAAGAAGAGUCAUUAAGAAAGAGGGAUCCAUUUAAAGGAAUUCAUGCUGA
rnacentral:lncRNA from 1 species